GAGGCAGCUGGUAACCAAAGGCGCUCGGCUUCCCGACCAGGGAGUGCGGCCUGGGCCUGGCUGGGUGGGCGGCUCCUGGGUUAUCAACUCAAGGGCUGCAAGGCUUUGGCCUUGGAGCCGGUUCGGCUGCUUGGCUCCAGGCCCUGGUGGCCCUCGCUUGCCAGUUGACCUUGCCCCCACGAAAACAGGGAAAAUUCUCAGAGAGAAAGCGGGAACCCGCUGGCCCACGGCGGUUUGGGGGAGUCGCGCAUCAACCGGGAAACCAGGACAACAGACGUGCCAAAAUCCGACCCAGGGAAGUGCCCUUUACAGGGCGAAUGAGCCGGGGGCAUUUUUGAGAGGAGACGAGGGACCCGUCUAUGUUUUAGUUAUGAUUUUUAAUACAGGGAAGCGAGAAAUAAGGCACAAGGAAACGGAAUCUGCAGAAUAACUUGUCUUUCCGGUCGCCCCGCAUUUUCCCCUGGACCGAACCUCGGGUUUUGACUUUGCGAAGGGCUGGAGCCUGGCCGGGAAAGGACCUGAGCUCCGGCCGCCCUGGCGUGGAGGAGUGAGAAGGCUGGAUCUCGCUUCUAGGGAGGCCCAAGCCGAGGCUGCUAGAAGGCGACUUCGGCGAGAAAUCUGCCGAAUUCUCUCAUCCAGAGGGCGAGAGAGAAGGCGCGGGGGGGUCCCUGAACCCCGGGAAAACUGGAAGAGAAAGGUGUAACGUGUGCCUCGCGCGGCCCGGGCAGCCAGGGGAGAUUUGAAGUGGUUUCGUGUUUUCCUUUGCAGGGGUCGCCAUGGGCUCGGCAUGGGGCUUGGCCUGGACAAGGUUAGGCUGUUUAGGCCCCAGAUGAGACUUGGGACGGCCUGGGCGGCAGUCAAUCCAGGAGCCAUUUGUCCCACCGCCCACCCCUCGGGAAACGCGGAGACUUUAUGGCCACUCUGUUUGUAUUAUCUGCAUAAGUCUUUCCCUACCAGUUUGAUCGAAACUGUUCGCUUUUACGAGGACCCAACGAAAAUUCCCCGUCAUAUUUAUCAGCCGGGGAUAAAAAUUUAGUAUGGGAACUGAUAUUUCCUCAUUUAUGGGGCGAUGAAAUUAAAGACCAAAGCAAUUGAGAAUUA